UACGAAGGGGCUAGCGUUGCUCGGAAUCACUGGGCGUAAAGGCGCACGUAGGCGGCUUUUAAGUCGAGGGGUGAAAUCCUGGAGCUCAACUCCAGAACUGCCUUUGAUACUGAGAAGCUUGAGUCCGGGAGAGGUGAGUGGAACUGGCGAGUGUAGAGGUGAAAUUCGUAGAUAUUCGCAAGAACACCAGUGGCGAAGGCGGCUCACUGGCCCGGUACUGACGCUGAGGUGCGAAAGCGUGGGGAGCGAACAGG
rnacentral:rRNA from 1 species